UUACCGAGGUCUUGACAUCCCGAUGCUAUUUCUAGAGAUAGAAAGUUACUUCGGUACAUCGGUGACAGGUGGUGCAUGGUUGUCGUCAGCUCGUGUCGUGAGAUGUUGGGUUAAGUCCCGCAACGAGCGCAACCCCUAUUGUUAGUUGCCAUCAUUCAGUUGGGCACUCUAGCGAGACUGCCGGUAAUAAACCGGAGGAAGGUGGGGAUGACGUCAAAUCAUCAUGCCCCUUAUGACCUGGGCUACACACGUGCUACAAUGGUUGGUACAACGAGUUGCGAGUCGGUGACGGCGAGCUAAUCUCUUAAAGCCAAUCUCAGUUCGGAUUGUAGGCUGCAACUCGCCUACAUGAAGUCGGAAUCGCUAGUAAUCGCGGAUCAGCACGCCGCGGUGAAUACGUUCCCGGGCCUU
rnacentral:rRNA from 1 species